rnacentral:lncRNA from 1 species
UCUAUGGAAAGCCGGUGAACCAGGGUAUCACUCAGCUGAAGGCCGCCCGCAACCUGCGCAGCGUUGCAGAGGAGCGUGUUGGUCGCAAGUGCGGCGGCCUGCGUGUCCUGAACUCGUACUGGGUGAACCAGGUAGGAACAGACUGGUGACGAUUCAGUUGGAUCAUUUUGUCUUAACCCCUUGGGUGCCCGGCACAGGACUCCUGCUACAAGUACUUCGAGGUCAUCCUCGUGGACCCGGCGCAUACCACCAUUCGCAACGUGAGCGAAGGGGAGGGGUCUGGAAGGGGUGGUAUUCUAAUGCUGCUGGACCUUGCGGAGGAGCUGUGAUUGGUCGAAGGGGGCUGGGGAACACAUUGCAGGCAAGGGUAUCAAGGUCGAAUAUGCAUUAUACAGCUCAAAAGGGUAGAGCCCUAUACGGCUCCAGGACAGAAGGGUACCUGUCCUAUAUUGGUCCCUUAUUGGAUUUGCUAUUUCCGCAGGAUGCGCGCAUCAACUGGUUGUGCAACCCGGUGCACAAGCACCGCGAGCUGCGCGGCCUGACCUCUGCCGGCAAGCAUUACCGCGGCCUGCGCGCCAAGGGCCACAAGGCCAGCAAGACCCGCCCCUCGAAGAGGGCCAGCUGGAAGCGCCGCAACUCGCUGUCGCUGCGCCGCUUCCGCUA